rnacentral:rRNA from 1 species
UCUGGUGGCGAUAGCGAAGAGGUCACACUCGUUCCCAUACCGAACACGGAAGUUAAGCUCUUUAGCGCCAAUGGUAGUUGGGACUUUGUCCCUGUGAGAGUAGGACGUUGCCAGGC